UGGUCAACAGACUGUGAGUGGAACUAAUGUGUGUCACUUCCUGGGUGAGGCAGUGAAUAGGUAACGUCCUCCUUCAGUUCUCUCUUCUCCUCCCACAAUGACCCUGGGGGUCAGAUGUUGAGUUAGCGGCACCACAGAAUGGAAGAAGCCUAGAUUUUGACUCACAGCUUUGAGAAAUGUCCCCAUAAACCCUCAUCAGACUAUGCAUGGAUGAGAAAAAACUUAAUGACUCCAGCCAUGAGAUCUGAGGAACUGCUUGUUGCUACACCAGUCUGUCCUAUACAGGUCACAGGAACCUCAAGUAUUUCACAGAAUGAUGCCAAGGAGCGCAGUUUCUACACCAUCCCUCCCGAUCAGACCACAUCUAUUCCAAUCUCAGUCUCAAACUCUUCCCCUUUUUCAACUCACAUUAAUGAAUUCACUAAGUACCUAGCACUGAGAAUAAAAAGCUAAAGCAGCA